GAAGCUGGUUGAAGCUGAUGAUCGAUUUCUGCUCUUACAAUGAUGUUCACUCAAUUGUCAGUUAAAUAUUAGUUACGGUUAAUACAAGGGCUUUUAGCAUUUGAUAAACUCGUGAUCACUUGGUGCGUAUAUUUGAAUUUGACAACAGGAGUAAUCGAAGGGGAAGGAAAUGCUCUUUGGUAACGUGUGACGAAUUGGAAUUCAGUCACGUUUUUCCCAUGGCCUGCAGAAGCAGC